rnacentral:rRNA from 1 species
GACGAACGCUGGCGGCGUGCUUAACACAUGCAAGUCGAACGGUAAGGCCCUUCGGGGUACACGAGUGGCGAACGGGUGAGUAACACGUGGGUGAUCUGCCCUGCACUUCGGGAUAAGCCUGGGAAACUGGGUCUAAUACCGGAUAGGACCACUGCCUGCAUGGGGGGUGGUGGAAAGCUUUUGCGGUGUGGGAUGGGCCCGCGGCCGAUCAGCUUGGUGGUGGGGUGAUGGCCUACCAAGGCGACGACGGGUAGCCGGCCUGAGAGGGUGACCGGCCACACUGGGACUGAGAUACGGCCCAGACUCCUACAGGGGGCAGCAGUGGGGAAUAUUGCACAAUGGGCGCAAGCCUGAUGCAGCGACGCCGCGUGAGGGAUGACGGCCUUCGGGUUGUAAACCUCUCUCAGCACCGACGAAGCGCAAGUGACGGUAGGUGCAGAAGAAGGACCGGCCAACUACGUGCCAGCCGCCGCCGUAA